rnacentral:rRNA from 1 species
GAUGAACGCUGGCGGCGUGCCUAAUACAUGCAAGUCGAGCGAACAGACGAGGAGCUUGCUCCUCUGACGUUAGCGGCGGACGGGUGAGUAACACGUGGAUAACCUACCUAUAAGACUGGGAUAACUUCGGGAAACCGGAGCUAAUACCGGAUAAUAUAUUGAACCGCAUGGUUCAAUAGUGAAAGACGGUUUUGCUGUCACUUAUAGAUGGAUCCGCGCCGCAUUAGCUAGUUGGUAAGGUAACGGCUUACCAAGGCAACGAUGCGUAGCCGACCUGAGAGGGUGAUCGGCCACACUGGAACUGAGACACGGUCCAGACACCUACGGGAGGCAGCAGUAGGGAAUCUUGCGCAAUGGGCGAAAGCCUGACGGAGCAACGCCGCGUGAGUGAUGAAGGUCUUCGGAUCGUAAAACUCUGUUAUUAGGGAAGAACAAAUGUGUAAGUAACUAUGCACGUCUUGACGGUACCUAAGCAGAAAGCACGGCUAACUACGUG